GUGAGGGACGAAAGCUAGGGGAGCAAAACGGAUUAGAUACCCGCGUAGUCCUAGCUGUAAACACUGCGAACUAUGUGUUGCGUAUCUUUCGUGGAUAUGCAGUGCCGUAGCGAAGGCGUUAAGUUCGCCGCCUGGGAAGUACGGUCGCAAGGCUGAAACUUAAAGGAAUUGGCGGGGACGCGCUACCAGGGGUGGAACGUGCGGUUCAAUCAGAUUCUACACCGUGAACCUCACCAGGAACGACGGCAGGAUGAAGGUCAGAUUGAAGGUCUUACCUAACAAGCCGAGAGGAGGUGCAUGGCCGCCGUCAGCUCGUGCCGUAAGGUGUCCAGUUAAGUCUGGCAACGAGCAAGACCUACAUCUACAUUUGCAAGCGACUCCUCCGGGAGGAUCGCGCACAAUGUAGAGACUGCCUUGGAAACAAGGAGGAAGGUGUAGGCAACGGUAGGUGGUAUGCCCUGAAUUUCCUGGGCUACACGCGCGUUACAAUGCUAGGGUCAAUGGGAUACAACCCCGAGAGGGGAAGUUAAACCUCGAAACCCUAUCUUAAUGCGGAUUGAGGGUUGCAAUUCACCCUCAUGAAGCCGGAAUCCCUAGUAAUUGGACGUCAUCAGCGUCCAGUGAAUAAGUCAACGUGUCUUGCACACACUGCCCGUCAUUCCAGCCGAGCAGGGUUUAAGUGAGGAUUAGGCGUUGCCUAGUUCGAACUUAAGCUCAGCAAGGAGGGACAAGUCGUCACAAGGUAGCCGUAGGGGAACCUGCGGCUGGAUCACCUCCUAU
rnacentral:rRNA from 1 species